rnacentral:misc_RNA from 1 species
AUUGUCGCCGCCGUUGGCCAGGCUCAUCGUCGUCUGCUGCCUGGAGCAGGACGCGGGCGUCGACUUGGGAGGCGGCAUCAGGUCGCACGGGUCCCCCGCCGACACCGCGCACGCCCCGCCGCCGCCGCGCCUGUCGUCCUCUGCUGGGACUGGGACGUCCCCGCCGCACGACUUGCCGCCGGCUUCGGUGCCGGUUCCACCACCAGAGGCCGCCGGCGCCGCAUCCGCCGCCGCCGGUGCCGGCGUCGGUGCCUCGCAGAAGAACUCCGAGAAGAUGUCCUUGUCCAGCGAGUCGGCCAGCGCGAAGGGGAAC